GCGGCAUUAGCUCAGUGGAUAGAGCAUCAGCCUCCGGAGCUGAGGGUCACAAGUUCAAGUCCUGUAUGCCGCGCCA
rnacentral:tRNA from 1 species